rnacentral:rRNA from 1 species
GUGCAGCAGGCGCGAAAACUUCACACUGUGCGGAAGCACGAUGAGGGAAUCCCAAGUGCUUGCACGUAAGUGUAAGCUGUUUCUCUGUCUAAAACGCAGAGAGAGUAAGGGCUGGGUAAGACGGGUGCCAGCCGCCGCGGUAAUACCUGCAGCUCAAGUGGUGACCGUUAUUAUUGGGCCUAAAACGUCCGUAGCCGGUUUAAUAAAUGCCUGGGUAAAUUGUGUAGCUUAACUAUACGAAUUCCGGGUAGACUGUUAAACUUGAGACCGGGAGAAGUUAGAGGUACUCCUGGGGUAGGGGUGAAAUUCUGUAAUCCUAGGGGGACCACCAGUGGCGAAGGCGUCUAACUAGAACGGGUCUGACGGUGAGGGACGAAGCCCGUGGGGCGCAAACGGGAUUA